AGGGAUCAUUGCUGGAACGCGCCUCGCGGCGCACCCAGAAACCCUUUGUGAACUUAUACCUUUUAUCGUUGCCUCGGCAGGGCCCGGGGGGCGCUUAUGCCCCUCCCAGCUCCGGCUGGAGAAGGCCUGCCGGUGGCCCCGUAAACUCUUGUUUUCUGAACGUACCUCUUCUGAGUAACAAAACAAAAAAUGAAUCAAAACUUUCAACAACGGAUCUCUUGGUUCUGGCAUCGAUGAAGAACGCAGCGAAAUGCGAUAAGUAAUGUGAAUUGCAGAAUUCAGUGAAUCAUCGAAUCUUUGAACGCACAUUGCGCCCGCUGGUAUUCCGGCGGGCAUGCCUGUUCGAGCGUCAUUUCAACCCUCAAGCCCCUGUGCUUGGUGCUGGGGCACAGCCUGUAGAAAGGCUGGCCCUCAAAUUUAGUGGCGAGCUCGCUAAGACUCCGAGCGUAGUAAUUACUUCUCGCUUAGGUUGACUUAGCGGCCCUCUGCCGUAAAACCCCCUAAAUUUUUCUGAAAGUUGACCUCGGAUCAGGUAGGAAUACCCGCUGAACUUAA
rnacentral:rRNA from 1 species